AGGAGUCCACGUUUUCAAGUUUUGAGAACCCGGUUUUUGGUUUAUCUUUUGAAGAAACCCUAAAAGUCAAACUGCUAUGACAUAUCACGUGUUCACAGAGCUCUCUAUCUCUCUUCCCUGCAGAUCAAAGAAAACGUCAAAAACCCUACACACUCUUCCACCCUUCUUUCCCUUUCCUAUCCUCUUCUUCUUCUCUGUAUCAUCUAUUCUCCAUCUUUUCUUUUCCAUUUCGAGCUAGGGUUCAAAAAACCCAAAAACAACCCUUCUGUAUCUCAGUUUCUCCCUGAAAUACAUACCCUAUCUUUGCUUAAAACUGCAAUUGUUAAAGUUUUUGUUUCAAAAUUCAAAUGGAUUUUAAACACCCGCCUCUAAAUUCCCCCUUCAUUCAAAUGCUAAAAACCCUAAUCAGAUUUCAAUAUACUGACAACGUUCUUUUUCUUUCAUGGUUCUCUUUCUCGCUCUCUAAUGGCUUCUGGUUGUCAGUGUUGUUGGUGUCUUGGGUUAGCGAAUCGCAAAGUUGGCUAGGGUUCAGGCCGAAUUCCGCUCACGCAGGUAAGUCCGGUGCCAAAGUUUUCAUGUUUGGAUGCAUCAGUUUCGUUUUUAUCAGUGGUAUGUAUUCAUCACCUGUUUGAGAUUAUUCAAGGUUUUUGUUCAGUAAUUUUGUCUAAUUUGUCGAUUUGGGGGAAAAGUUUGAUUCAAUUUGUUUCAGUGACAUUGUUGACCAAUUAAAGUAAUGGGGUUGUUUCUUUAUCCUCAAAAAGUUUGAGAUUAUUCAAGGUUUUUGUUCAGUAAUUUUGUCUAAUUCAAUUUGUUUCUUUAUCCCCAAAAAGUAAUGGGGUUGUUUCUCUAUCCUCAAAAAGUUUGUUAAUUGGGUCAAAAUUGAUGGUUUGGGUGUGGGUUUGACUUUUUGGGAGUCAAACAUCAUGGGUGUGUUUGAAAGGUUGAAUCUUGGAGUUUUUUUCCCAAAUUGUUGACCAAUUAAAAUAUGGAUUUUUUUUAUUUAGUAGGUAUGGAGUUUGGUUUUUCAUGUGGAACUUGAUAAAGGUCCACUGGACCAAUUCACACAUGAGAUGGAGCCAUGUAAUUGAUUUUGAGUUCAGAUUUGGGGGAAUCUGCCUGUUCAUAACAGCAUGGAUGAACUAGCAGCUGCAGCAUUAUGUUACGAUUAUGAUGAGGGCCCUAAACUGAAAGCUAAGGAGAAGGUGCAAACGAAAUGCUUUACUUUUCCUUAUCCCGGAAGAGCUUAUGAUGAAGCCAUGGAUGCUUUGUCUUCUACCAUCACCAAAAAGAGUCGUUCUCGUAAACCAGUCUCUGACCAUAGAUUUGAGCGGGUGUUUGACUAUGUUAAGAUUUUGGAUUUGGAGAAGUAGAUUUCGCAGAUGAAGAUCAUCCAUGUUGCAGGCGCUCAAACGGAAAGGGAAAAAUUCCUGGGUCCGCCACUGAGCACGUGUUGACGAUUCUGUGAAUCCGCCGGUUAUGCGAGGACAAAUUCUUGACGAAGACAUUGUUAUUUCCGAGGAAACCAUACGCAACGCGUUACAGUUCAAUGACAGUCCAAACGAUCCUGUUACAUUACCGGGUCGAUUAUUGAAAGGUUGAUUGAUGCGGAUGAAGUAUUCUAAUGAUCCGAUAGAAUCGAUGCCCAACAAAGCAAAUUUCCCGAAACAGUUGAAGUAUCUGUUACAUGUUAUCAUCCGCUGCUUGGGGCCACGUAAAUCAGGCUAUGAUGUGGCGCGUGACACGUUGAUUUCAGCACUGGUAGCUUUGGUUCUGAACAAACCGUUCAACUUUUCGGGAAUGUUAUUUCUGCAUCUAUCAGAGAAUCUUGGGAAGAAGGUGAAGCGUAAAGAAAAAUUACAACGGUCAAUGCACCUAUAACUAGCUCUGCUCCUAAUGUUUCACCGUUUCAACUUCCAAACAUUGAAGAUAUUGGAAACAUGUCUAUGCAAAUGCAACUGCUCUAUCUAACACAUUUAGUCUAUCAACAAGCCGAACAAAUCAAAGAACUAAGCACGAGAUGCGGCAAAGUCACAACAAAUUGAAGUUUAUGAUAAUGAUAGAAAAUCAUUCAAAGCGUUUAUUAGAAAAUCUGAAGAACAGAACAAGCGUUUAUCAUCAAAGUCACAAGAUACAGAGAAAGACAAGCAGAUUGCAGCUCUUGAAUCUAGCGUGGAUUCACAACAAGGUGCUAUCGAAACACUACAAGUGUUAGUAGCUUCGUUAUUAUCCAAAUCACGUGCUCAAGGGGAGAAUGACAAUAAUGGUGACAAAGAUAAAGAAAAUGAUGAUGGAAAUGAAAUCUUUUGUGUGGAAGCUCGUGAAGGACACUGUAGUGAUCCUUAUCUAUCUUGAUAUAACAUCGUUAAGACGUUCAAGCAAUAAACUUUUGGAGUGAUGAAAAAAUGUGAAAAUUUUGAAAUUUGCGAAAUUAAGAAUUUAUCUGGGAGUAAAGAGUGGCUCAAGAAGAAUCAGAGUUGGAGGUUAAUAUGAUGUUUUGUGGUUGAUGUUCUUGAUGAACACAGUAAACCUGUGAAAUAACAAAGCAUAAGAGACUGUUGAAGAUGUAAAGAAACUGAAGAGAAUUUUAAUGAAGCAGCCAUGAAAGAAGAUGCCAUUAAUGUAAAUGAUGUUAUUGGUCAACAUAUAUGAAAGUUAUUGCAAUCAAUAUAAAUAUGAUGAUUC